UGUGGGAGCGAGCCUGCUCGCGAUGCAGUGGAUCAGUCACCUCGGUAGCGAUUGUGACUCAGCCAUCGCGAGCAGGCUCGCUCCCACA
rnacentral:misc_RNA from 1 species